rnacentral:tRNA from 1 species
GUCCCGGAUGGCGCAGUGGCUACCGCACCUGCCUAGUAAGCAGGAGACCCCGGGUUCGAAUCCCAGUCCGGUACA